CAGAUUAGCAACUAAGGUCCCUAAUACAUAGUUAAGUUGAUCAAACGAGGUGGGAUUUCUAUAACAGCCAGGAUGUUGGCUUGGAAGCAGCCACUCAUUUAAAGAGUGCGUAACAGCUCACUGGUCGAGAGAUCCUGCACGGAAAAUAAUCGGGCAUCAAACCAUGAACCGAAGUUCUAAGAUUGCUACUACGUAGUAUAUCGGUAGGGGAGCAUUGAAAUCAGCUGUGAAGGUGUGUGGCGAUGCAUGCUGGAGCGAUUUCAAAAGAAAAUGUAGGCAUAAGUAACGAUAAUUAAAGUGAAAAACUUUAACGCCGUAAACCCAAGGUUUCCUGAUCAAUGUUAAUCAGAUCAGGGUUAGUCGGGUCCUUAGGCAAACCCGAAAGGGGCAGCUGAUGGCAAGUCGGUUAAUAUUCCGACACCUGCUUAUACUUCGAUGGGGUGACGAGGUAGUGAAAGAUCCGCGUUCUUACGGAAUAGAACGUUAAAGGGUGUAGAUAUUAGUUGUGUAGGCAAAUCCGCACGAUUAGUCGAACCUGAUAGUACAGCAAAGCUUCGGCCGCGCUGAUAGUGAUCCUAAUCAAACCUCCGAGAAAAACCUCUAAGUUAUGGUAUAAGCAGCCCGUACCGCAAACCGACACAGGUGGGUGGGAUGAAUAUUCUAAGGCGCUCGGGUGAGCCGUGGAGAAGGAACUAGGCAAAUUAACGCUGUAACUUCGGGAUAAAGCGUACCAUAGAGAUAUGGUCACAGUAAAAUGAUUCAACCAACUGUUUAACAAAAACACAGGGCCCUGCAAAAUCGAAAGAUGACGUAUAGAGCCUGAAACCUGCCCGGUGCUGGAAGGUUAAGGAAGGGUGUUCGGCGUAAGCCAAAGCUCCUGACUGAAGCCCCAGUAAACGGCGGCCGUAACUAUAACGGUCCUAAGGUAGCGAAAUUCCUUGUCGGGUAAGUUCCGACCUGCACGAAUGGUCUAAUGAGUUGAACACUGUCUCCUCCACGAGCCCGGUGAAAUUGUAGUAUCGGUGAAGAUGCCGGUUACCCGUCACGGGACGGAAAGACCCCAUGAACCUUCACUACAACUUUGCAUUGAUUUUGAAUUUUUGAUGUGUAGGAUAGUUGGGAGACUUUGAAGCUGUGUCGCUAGGCAUGGUGGAGUCGUCGUUGAAAUACCAACCUUUAAACAUUUAGAAUCUAAUCCCUAACGGGAAACAGUGCAUGGUGGGUAGUUUGACUGGGGUGGUCGCCUCCUAAAAAGUAACGGAGGCUUGCAAAGGUUCCCUCAGUACGGUUGGUAAUCGUACAUAGAGCGUAUUAGUAUAAGGGAGCUUGACUGUGAGACUUACAAGUCGAGCAGGGACGAAAGUCGGCUAAAGUGAUCCGGCGGUUCUGUAUGGAAGGGCCGUCGCUCAAAGGAUAAAAGGUACUCUGGGGAUAACAGGCUGAUCUCCCCCAAGAGCUCAUAUCGACGGGGAGGUUUGGCAC
rnacentral:rRNA from 1 species